ACCAUGCAGUCGAACGGUGAAGCCAAGCUUGCUUGGUGGAUCAGUGGCGAACGGGUGAGUAACACGUGAGCAACCUGCCCUGGACUCUGGGAUAAGCGCUGGAAACGGCGUCUAAUACUGGAUAUGAGCUCUCAUCGCAUGGUGGGGGUUGGAAAGAUUUUUCGGUCUGGGAUGGGCUCGCGGCCUAUCAGCUUGUUGGUGAGGUAAUGGCUCACCAAGGCGUCGACGGGUAGCCGGCCUGAGAGGGUGACCGGCCACACUGGGACUGAGACACGGCCCAGACUCCUACGGGAGGCAGCAGUGGGGAAUAUUGCACAAUGGGCGGAAGCCUGAUGCAGCAACGCCGCGUGAGGGAUGACGGCCUUCGGGUUGUAAACCUCUUUUAGCAGGGAAGAAGCGAGAGUGACGGUACCUGCAGAAAAAGCGCCGGCUAACUACGUGCCAGCAGCCGCGGUAAUACGUAGGGCGCAAGCGUUAUCCGGAAUUAUUGGGCGUAAAGAGCUCGUAGGCGGUUUGUCGCGUCUGCUGUGAAAUCCCGAGGCUCAACCUCGGGCCUGCAGUGGGUACGGGCAGACUAGAGUGCGGUAGGGGAGAUUGGAAUUCCUGGUGUAGCGGUGGAAUGCGCAGAUAUCAGGAGGAACACCGAUGGCGAAGGCAGAUCUCUGGGCCGUAACUGACGCUGAGGAGCGAAAGGGUGGGGAGCAAACAGGCUUAGAUACCCUGGUAGUCCACCCCGUAAACGUUGGGAACUAGUUGUGGGGACCAUUCCACGGUUUCCGUGACGCAGCUAACGCAUUAAGUUCCCCGCCUGGGGAGUACGGCCGCAAGGCUAAAACUCAAAGGAAUUGACGGGGACCCGCACAAGCGGCGGAGCAUGCGGAUUAAUUCGAUGCAACGCGAAGAACCUUACCAAGGCUUGACAUACACCAGAACACCGUAGAAAUACGGGACUCUUUGGACACUGGUGAACAGGUGGUGCAUGGUUGUCGUCAGCUCGUGUCGUGAGAUGUUGGGUUAAGUCCCGCAACGAGCGCAACCCUCGUUCUAUGUUGCCAGCACGUAAUGGUGGGAACUCAUGGGAUACUGCCGGGGUCAACUCGGAGGAAGGUGGGGAUGACGUCAAAUCAUCAUGCCCCUUAUGUCUUGGGCUUCACGCAUGCUACAAUGGCCGGUACAAAGGGCUGCAAUACCGUGAGGUGGAGCGAAUCCCAAAAAGCCGGUCCCAGUUCGGAUUGAGGUCUGCAACUCGACCUCAUGAAGUCGGAGUCGCUAGUAAUCGCAGAUCAGCAACGCUGCGGUGAAUACGUUCCCGGGUCUUGUACACACCGCCCGUCAGUCAUGAAAGUCGGUAACACCUGAAGCCGUGGCCCAACCCUUGUGGAGGAGCCGUCGAGUGGGAUCGUAUAGACUAUCUG
rnacentral:rRNA from 1 species